rnacentral:rRNA from 1 species
GACGAACGCUGGCGGCGUGCUUAACACAUGCAAGUCGAGCGGUAAGGCCCUUUCGGGGGUACACGAGCGGCGAACGGGUGAGUAACACGUGGGUGACCUGCCCUCAGCUCUGGGAUAAGCCUGGGAAACCGGGUCUAAUACUGGAUAUGACUCCAUGACGCAUGUUGUGGGGUGGAAAGCCUUGUGCGGCUGAGGAUGGGCCCGCGGCCUAUCAGCUUGUUGGUGGGGNGAUGGCCUACCAAGGCGACGACGGGUAGCCGGCCUGAGAGGGCGACCGGCCACACUGGGACUGAGACACGGCCCAGACUCCUACGGGAGGGCAGCAGUGGGGAAUCUUGCGCAAUGGGCGAAAGCCUGACGCAGCGACGCCGCGUGAGGGAUGACGGCCU